AACUAGAGAGCUUGUAUAAUAAGCAUCUGGCUUUUAAUCAGAAGAAAUCAGUUUGUUUCUAGUUA
rnacentral:tRNA from 1 species